UCCAGUGUGGUGCAGUGGUUUGAGUAUUGGACUACAACUCUGAAGACCAGGGUUCAAUUCCUUGCUCAGCCA